GAUGAACGCUGGCGGCGUGCCUAAUACAUGCAAGUCGAGCGAACAGAUGAGGAGCUUGCUCCUCUGACGUUAGCGGCGGACGGGUGAGUAACACGUGGAUAACCUACCUAUAAGACUGGGAUAACUUCGGGAAACCGGAGCUAAUACCGGAUAAUAUAUUGAACCGCAUGGGUCAAUAGUGAAAGACGGUUUUGCUGUCACUUAUAGAUGGAUCCGCGCCGCAUUAGCUAGUUGGUAAGGUAACGGCUUACCAAGGCAACGAUGCGUAGCCGACCUGAGAGGGUGAUCGGCCACACGGGAACUGAGACACGGUCCAGACUCCUACGGGAGGCAGCAGUAGGGAAUCUUCCGCAAUGGGGGAAAGCCUGACGGAGCAACGCCGCGUGAGUGAUGAAGGUCUUCGGAUCGUAAAACUCUGUUAUUAGGGAAGAAAAAAUGUGUAAGUAACUAUGCACGUCUUGACGGUACCUAAUCAGAAAGCCACGGCUAACUACGUG
rnacentral:rRNA from 1 species